UACGUAGGGACCAAGCGUUGUUCGGAUUUACUGGGCGUAAAGGGCGCGUAGGCGGCUUGACAAGUCACUUGUGAAAUCUCCGGGCUUAACUCGGAACGGCCAAGUGAAACUGUCAUGCUAGAGUGCAGAAGGGGCAAUCGGAAUUCUUGGUGUAGCGGUGAAAUGCGUAGAUAUCAAGAGGAACACCUGAGGUGAAGACGGGUUGCUGGGCUGACACUGACGCUGAGGCGCGAAAGACAGGGGAGCAAACGGG
rnacentral:rRNA from 1 species